rnacentral:lncRNA from 1 species
CAUAACAUAAACCACCCAGAACUGGUGUCACAAUCUCAUGGACUAUCUAAGAAAACUCCAAAUAAUGUCUGAACAAGAAAGUACAUGUCUGUCUUUGGAAUAUAUAAGAACAAAAAGAAAGUAGAUAUGGAGGGAACGCCAAGACCUGCGGACGCCUAUAAGUCUACCUCGGGUCUCCUGAUGGACUGAAGGUAGCAACCCCUAGCUAAGGUCUGUAUGCUCUAGUAUCGAGAUCUGCACACAGUGCAGAGUGUAGUAUCAACACAACCGACCCCAUAUGCUGGUAAGUGUCGAGCCUAACCUCGGCGAAGUAGUGAUGAGUCUAGGACGAGACUACCAAAUAAGCCUGUGCAGUUAAAGCAUAUAAGAUAAGCAAUAAAAAUGGAAACUAGCAGUUAAAGAUUGGAAAAGGAGCAUGCUGCGGGGGAUAUCAAGUAACAACAGUAACUCAGAAGAAAAACAUAAAGAACAUUUUAAGGUUUGCAUCAGUAAGAAUAAGGAAACAACAAUAAGUCAAUAUCAACUCUUAUAAUUUAUUGGUGCGGCGCGCAACCCAAUCCAAAUAAUAUAACACUGUUGCGACGUGCAACCCAAUAUAAUCAUAUAUCAUUAUUGUGGCGUGCAACCCAAUCCAAUAAUAUAUCAUUGUUGCGGUGUGCAACCCGACCCCUCCUGUCCUCCCUUAUUACUCCACGUUGUAGUGUGCAACCCAAUUCUAUAUAAUGUUGUUGCGGUGUGCAACCCGAUCCCAUUAUACAAUUCAACACCAAUCACAAAAGAAUCCCAACAAGGGAACAAUAAGGAAACAACAAUAUCCCGGCAAGGAAAUCAACAAUGAGAAUAAACACAUCCUGGCAAGGGAACCAACAGUAAGAAGUAAAUACGUCCCAGCAAGGGAAUCAGCUAUAACCAAACUUGUUCCAAUAUUUAACCUCACAAAAGAAGCCUCAACUAGAGCCAAUACUAAACCAUAAACAAUUGCCACGAGAAUAAUCAUAAUUCUUACCCAACACCGAGAAUCAACAACUUAGGCAUUUGUAGUACUUAUUAAGAACACAACGAUUUCAAUUUAAGACUCACGUGCAUGCUUGACAACGGCGCAUUGAUACUCGUCACUACACUUAUACGUCGUACACUACAAUAGCACAUAGCAAAUAUAGCACGAUACCUAUUCCCUCAAGCUAAGGUUAGACCAAACACUUACCUCGAAUUUUCACAGCCAACUCAAGCCUCGAACACCACUUUUUCCUUUAUAAUUCGCCUCCAAAUUACUUUUAUCUAGUCCAAAUUAAUUUACCAACAUCAAUAAAUGCUAAGGAAUCCAUACCCAAUAUCCCCAAAAAGUCAAAAAUUGACCCCAGGCCCUCUUGGCCAAAAUUCGAGGUUCGGAUCAAAACCCAAUCAUGCAUUCACCACGAGCCCAAAUAUGCAAUUAAUUUCGAAAUCCAACCCCAAAAUGAGGUCUAAAUUAAGAUUAUUCAAAAAGCCCUAGCUCUACCCAAAUCCCCAAUUUCUACCAUAAAAACUCUAGAUUUUUUGAUGAAGAUUGAUGAAAUUCAAUGGGAAAUCGAAAGAAAAAGGUUUAGAAUCAUAUACCAAUGCUUUAGGGAAGAACUUGUCUCUUGAAAAUUGCCUCAAUUCUCUCUAGUUUUGAAGAUAUGAAGUAAAUGGGUUUUGCCCGUUUUUUUGCUACUGUUUUAAAAAUGACUGGGCAGGCCUUCAUCGUGUUCGCGAUGGGCCUAUCACAUUCGAGAUGGGUCAGGCCUAGAUGGCCAUCGCGUUUGCAUUCAAUGGCUCGCGUUCGCGGAGUUUCAGCUCCUCAAGCCUUCGCGUUUGCGGUCAGGUGGCCACGUUCGUGUAGAACAAUUUGAAACCCCUCCCCCAGGCCCACUAACCCUAUGCGUUCACGAGAGCCUGAACACGUUCGCAAAGGGUAACUCCCCCAAAAGCUUCGCGUUCACGUCCUGAGCUCCACAUUCGCGAAGAACAAACUGGCACCUGAGGAAAAUUGCCUUACGCGUUCGCUAGUGGAGCCAUGCAAAUGCGAAGAACAAAAUCUCUGUGCACCCGAGACAACAAAACCUGCAACUUUUCUAAGUGUAAAAACAUCCCGAAACCUAUCCGAAACUCACCCAAGCCCUCGGGGCUCCAAACCAAACAUGCAUACUAACCCAACAACAUCAUAUGGACUUACUCGUGUGAUCAAAUCGCCAAAUUAACACCUUUUACAAUGAAUUUAGCAUUAAAAUCAAAGAAGAAUCCCAAGAACUCUUAAGUUAAAAUUUUAACAACUGAGGGUCCGAUUCACGUAAUUUCAAGUCCGUUUCUUACAAAAUUUUACAGGCUCAACCUAAUACCAUAUAAGACCUGUACCGAGCUCUGAAACUAAAAUACGGGCCCAAUACCAUCAAUUUCAAAUACAUUCAAAUUACUAAAAAUAGUUAAAAUUUCAGUUAAACAAUUUCCUUCAAAAAUUUAUUUCUCGGGCUUGGGACCUCGGAAUUCAAUUUCGGGCUUACACCCAAGUCCCAUAUUUUUCUACGGACCCUCCAGGACCGUCAAAUUACGGGUCUGAGUCUGUUUAUCCAAAAUAUUGAUCUAAGUCAACUUAAAUUUAAUUUUAAGGCCAAAUUAGCAUUUUCAUCAAAUUGUCACAUAAAAGCGUUCCAGAUGUACGCCCAGAGUGCGCACACAAAUCGAGGUAAGAUAAAAGGAGGGUUUUAAGACCUCAGAAUGCAGAAUUUACUUGUAAAUCAAAAAGGUCAUCACAUUUAUUAUUUCAUUUUGUGAUUCCUGUAUCAUCUAAAUAAAUAGAGAUGGACUUAUUUAAUCAUGGGAACAUUUCACAUUACUGAAAUAGUUUCUCAAGAUAGUUCCCAGCACAACUCAAGCUAAUUCGUGUAUCUACUUACAAAUAAUAUUAUUGUAGUAUUAUUAUCGUUAUUUUCCGGUGUCAUUUUCCUACACUCUAUGAAACUAUGACAAGUAAUACUACUCUGAAAUUUUUUGAUGGUACUAUCAUUUUUGGUGUUGUCUCCACUGCUACUCUUCUAGCUGUCCUGAUAGAUAUCUACGGUGUUGCAAAUACGUUAUUGCAUCCACAACUUUGGCAGAUAGUAAUGUCAAAGCACAGGUAUGUGAAUAGACAUGGUUACAUAUCCAAUACUAAUAUUAAAAUCUUCAAAAAAAUUGCACCUCAAUGCAAGAGAAGAGUUGUGACAAUUGAUAAUCUUGCUAAGUCAAAAUUAAAUUUGACUAAAGAAUUGUUGCGGCCAUUUCCCAAAUAAAUAAUAUGGCCAAUGUGAGAAAUUGUGUGAUACACCCAAGUUGAGGAAGGAGAAGAAACUAUUUAUCUUGAUGAUUCAAGAACAACUUGUGUUCUUGGGAAUGUAAAAAUUCCUCUCAAACUCAUAUUUCGUAAAACUCUAGCAUUGAGAGAUGUAUUGCACUAAUAUCCAAACCAAUUUGAUUUCUGUGGGGUUAUUAAGAAAAGUUGGAGCGAAGGUUUUAUUUUAAAAUAAUGAGGUCGUAUUGACCAAAAAUGAUAUUUUGUGGGCAAUGGAUAUUGUAACCAUGGUUUAUUUAUGCUUAAUAUUUCUAAUACUAGCUAUGAAAAUGCAUCUUCUUCUGCUUAUAUGGUUGAGUCUGUUUUUCUAUGACAUGCUAGACUAAGACAUGUUAAUGUCGCGUAUAUAAAGAAAAUGCAGUCACUAGGAUUAAUAUCUGGUUUCAACUCAAAUAAUAUUGGCAAAUGUGAAAUAUGUGCUGAAGCUAAAUGUGACGGCCCGACCAGUCGUCUCAUGAGUUAGUGCCUGUUUCCCUAUUUCUGCUUCUUUAUACUUUGUUUGUCCGUGUCAUGUGGUAUCAGGUUGGUCGGAUCGAAUCCGUAAUGAUUUUGGUAAGGUUUGGGACACAUAGUCUCUUUUGACGAAGCUUGAGUUAGAAAAGUCAACUGGAUAUUGACUUAUGUGUUAGAGGGCUCGGAUGUGAGUUAUGAAGGUUCGGUUAGCUUCGCUAGGUGAUUUGUGACUUAGAAGUGUGAUCAGAAUGGGUUUUGGAGGUCUAGAGUAGAUUUAUGCUUGAAUUGGCGAAUUUGAUAUUUUGGCGAUUUCUAGUUGAUAGGCAAGAUUUUGAUAUAAGGGCCGGAACGCAAUUCCGAGAGUUGCAGUAGUUUCGUUGUGUGAUUUGCGAUGUGUGCAAAAUUUCAGGUCAUUCGGACGAGUUUGGUUGGGUUUUUGCUCGAAAGCCUAAUUUGGAGGAUUUUAGGAAAUUUGGCUUGAAUCUGAUGUGUUUUGGGUGAUUUGAUGUUGUUUGAGGUGUUUUGAUGAUUGGAACAAGUUUGAAUAAGGUAUUAGAAUAUGUUUGUGCUUUUGGUUGAGGUCCCGGGGACCUCGGGGUGAUUUCGGAUGGUUGACGGAAAGGUUUGAGACUUGUGAAAUUUGCAGAAUCUCAACUGCUUUUGGUAUUUCCGCACCUGCGGAUUGGGGACCGCAGGUGCGACGCCGCAAGUGCAGAAGAUAGGCCGCAUAAUCAAAAAAAGGUCUAGAGGAGCAGGAACUGCAGAAGCGGUUAAUGGGACUGCAUCUGCGAAUCCGCAGAUGCGGAUAAGGGAUCGCAGAAGCAAGAGUGCCUGGAAAGGCAGCAACCGCAGAUGUGGUGGAUGGACCGCACCUGCGAAGGCGCAGAUGCGGAAGAUUGAUCGCAAAAGCGGUUUGGUCCAUUAAGUGGUUUCCGCAGAAGCGGAAGAAGAACCGCAAAUGCGAUACCGCAAAAGUGGGUAUUGGGCCGCAUAGGCAGAAGGUAUAAAUUGUAGCCUUCGCGAAUUUUGAGCUAUUUCACCAUUUUUAUCUCGGCUUGGGAGCUUUUUGGGCGAUUUAAAAGAGGAAUUUCAAGGGAACUUCAUUGAGGUAAGGAACUUGGACCUAAAACUCAUUCCUAUGCUAUUAUUUCAUGGAUUAGAGCUAGAAAUUAUGGAAAUUAAAGGUUAAAAUUGGGAAAACUAGUGCUUGGAAACUUAGGUAUUUAAUUGUGGAUUUGAAGGACCAUUUGGGGUCGGAUUUCUGAACUUUUGAUAUGUAUGAACUUGUAGGGACAUAAGGAAUCUAUUGAUGUAAAAAUUAUUGAAUUUCGAGACGUGGGCCCGGAGGUCGGGUUUUGGUAAUUUCGGGAUUUGUGUCAUUUAUUGAUUGUUUUCUCUUGGUCUUCGUUCCACUAGCAUAUUUUGACGUCCGCGUUCUGAUUUUGGAUAGAUUCGACGCGAGUGGAGGCCGAUUCGAGGGGCAAAGGCAUCACGAGCUAGAGAUUUGACCGGUUCGAGGUGAGUAAUGAUUGUAAAUGAUGUUUUGAGGGUUUUAAACCCCGGAUUGCACAUCGUAGUGCUAUAUUGAGGUGAGGCACACGCUUGAUGACGAGUGGUCUAUCACUACUGAUGAUUUUAUGGUGUAUUUGACUAAAAUCCAUUUGUUUUCAUCAUUAUUUGGGAUGAAGGCUAUAUUUGGGCCUAGUGCUAACUAUUUGAACCCUUCGGGGCUUUUUAUUGUUAUUUCCUCACUAUUUUGACUUUAUACUUGAACUCAGUCAUGUUAUUUUCCAUUGUUUUCAUAUUUAGCCACAUUUGCUCAAUUUUAAGACUUAAAUGAUAUUUUAAAUGAUGUUUGGGUUGAGAAACACUAUUUUACUAUUGCUCGAGGGGCUUGUGAGGAUUUUUGACUGAGUAAGGCCGACGGCCUAUGUUGUGAGGAAACAUUUGAUACUGAUUAUGAGGCCGAGGGCAUGAGAUAUGUAUGCCACGAGGUGGGUUGAUUGAUAUGAGGCCGAGGGCCUAGUUUUGAUGCCACGAGAUGGCUUGAUAUUGCGCUUGGGCCGUAAGGGGCCCCUCCAGGAGUCUGUAUACCCCAGUGAGUGCGGGUACCCAUUGUGAUGUGAGAUUGAGCCCGAGGGGCGGAUUUGUUGAUACUGUGCCCGAGGGGAGAACUUCUAUUUGUUUACUUUACCUUAACUACCUGUCAAUAACCUAUUUAAUUGAUGGAAAAGGAUUGUUACUUAAAUUUUCAUUGGUUUACUGUUUUUUAAUGUUUCACUACUUCAUUAUAGAAUGUCUUGUGCCUUACGUGUUUUCUUACUUUCAGUCGUUAUUUACAUUUGUUACCUACUGAGUUGGAGUACUCACUUUAUUCCGUGCACCCCUGUGUGCAGAUUCAGGCGUUGCUGAUCCUGCCAGUGCAAGUUGAGAGCUCCCGGCGGACAUUCGGAGUUCACGAGGUAGCUGUUGGCGUCCGCAACCCCGUGUCUCUACUCCUUUAUCACUUCUAUCACUUUUCAGAUAGUUGUACUAGUUUAUUGUCUUAGCGGAUUUGUAUUAUGACUUAUAGAUUCUCAUGACUAGUGACACCCCGGUUAGGGCUAUGUAUGGGUGUUCUUCCACGUAUUUAUAUUAUCAUUGUUAUUUUGAAUUUAAUUUAUCAUGUUUAGAUCGUUUCUUAAAUGCUUAACUGUUAAUAAUUGGAAAAUGGGAAGUGUCGACUGGCCUUGUCUUCACGAGAGGCUCCAUCACAACCAGAUUCGAAUUAGGGUCGUCACACUAAAAGUACUAGAAAGACUUAUUUUUUUGUAAAUAGAGAAACCAAUUUGUUAUCCUUUAUUCACACUGAUUUAGACGAUUAAAACAUACUAUGACUAGAGGUGGUAAAAGAUAUUACGUGACUUUUAUUGAUUAUUUUUCUAGAUAUAUUAAGUUGUAUUAGCUUAAAAAUAAAGAUGAUGCUUUUAUUUCUUAUAAAAUUGAGGGUGAAAAUCAACUUUGUAGAAAAAUCAUGAGAAUUAGAUCUGAUAGAGGUGGAGAAAAUUUUCUUUAAAUGAUUUUUGUGAAAAGAAUGGAAUAAUUCAUGAAGUAACCCCGCCUAAUUCACUUGAUUUAAAUGGAGUAGCCGAAAGAAAAAAUAGAACAUUGAAAGAGAUGAUGAACUCUAUGUUAGUUAGCUCUAAUGCUCUCGAUAAUUUGUGGGGUGAAGCUAUUUUAUCUGCAUGUCACUUAUAAAAUAGAAUACCACAUACAAGAACUGACAAAACUCUGUAUGAAUUGUGGAGGUGUUAUAAACCUAACUUGAAAUAUUUAAAAAUGUGGGCUUGCCUUGCUGAAGUUCUUUUGCUUGAACCUAAAAAGAGAAAAAUAGGUUUUGAAAUUGCUGAUUGUAUGCUUAUUGGAUAUGCUGAACAUAGUGCUGCAUAUAAAUUUCUUAUAAUAAAAAGUGAUGUGCUUGAUUACAAUACUAUAAUUGAGACAAAAAAUGCUGAGUUCUUUGAAUAUAUUUAUCCAUUGUCUAAUAAAAUUUCUCAUACACCUGUUGAAACAAAUAGUAAAAUUACCUGUAAUGAGGAACUGAGAAGGAGUAAAAAGCCUAGAAAAUAAUAUUUUUCUUAUGAAAAUAAUUUUCAAACUUUUCUUGUCAAUAAUGAACCAUUAAAUUAUUUUGAAGUUAUAUUCUUCUGAAGCUAAUUAUUGGAAAGAGGCAAUAAAAGUUGAAAUCCAUUCUAUUUUGAAAAAUAAAACAUGUAUUUUAACAGAUUUACCUCCUGGUACAAAGCCUGUUGGUUGUAAAUGGAUUUUCAAAAAGAAAUUUAAUCUCAAUGGAUCUUUACAUAAAUAUAAAGCUCGGUUAGUAGAAAAAGCAUUUUCUCAAAAAUAAAAUAUAGAUUAUUUUGAUACAUUUGCACCACUGACUAGAAUUUCUUCUAUUCAAGUUUUAAUUGCCUUAGCUUCAAUUCAUAAUCUUUUUAUCCAUCAAAUGGAUAUCAAAACAGUUUUUUUAAAUGUUGAUUUAGAAGAAGAAAUUUAUAUGGUUUAACCUGAAGGCUGUGUCAUUAUUGGGCAUGAAAAUAAAAUUUUUAAAUUAAUUAAAUCUCUUUAUGGCCUUAAAGAAGCUCCUAAGCAGUGGUAUGAGAAAUUUGAAUAAGUCUUACUGAGAGACAAUAUUUCCUCAAUUGAGGUAGAUAAAUGUAUUUGUACUAAAGUGGUAGACAAUGAUUAUGUGAUAAUAUGUCUAUAUGAUGAUGACAUGCUUAUAUUUGGUACAAAUUUAAAUAUUGUGCAAAGUAAAAAAUUAUUUGUGUCUACUAAUUUUGAUGUGAAAGAUCUGGGUGAAGUAAAUACAAUAUUGAAAGUUAAAGUUAUAAAGAAUGAAGAUAAAAUAAUGUUGUCACAAGAACAUUAUGUUGAGAGACUUCUUAAGAAGUUUGAAUAUUUUAAUGUCACAUCUGUGAGCACUCCUUUUGAUGCUAACUCUUAGUUAAAAAAAUAUAAUGGUGACCCAGUUGCUAGUCUAAAUAUGCGUAGAUUAUUGAGAGUCUGAUGCAUUUAAUGAAUUUUACAAGGCCUGAUAUAACCUAUGUUGUGUGUAGACUGAGUAGAUAUACUCAUAAUCCCAACAGAGAGCAUUGAUCUGCAUUAGAUUGACUAAUGAAAUAUUUGAAAGGAACCAUGAAUUAUGGUAUCCUAUAUAGUGGAUUUUCUUCUACUUUAGAAGGGUACAGUGAUGCAAACUGGAUCUCUGAUUCAGAUGAGACAAAAUUCAUUAGUGGUUAUGUAUUCACCCUUGGCGGUGGUGCAAUAUCGUGAAAAUCAGCUAAAUAGACAUUCAUUGCUGGAUUAACUAUGGAAUAAGAGUCUGUAGCUCUGGAGUUAGAUGGUUCUGAGGCUAAGUGCCUAAGAAACUUCUUAGCUAAUAUCCCUUUAAUGAAGGACGUAUUGCCUCCUGUGUCUAUGCAUUGUGAUUGUCAAGCGACAAUAGCUAUUGCAAAGAAUAAAUCUUAUAAUUAUAAAAUAGACACAUGAAACUGAGACAUAAUGUCAUAAAAUUGCUGUUGAGAUAUGGAAUAAUUUCCAUUGACUAUGUGAAGUCAGAGAUAAAUUUGGCAGAUCCUCUGACUAAAUCUGUGAGAAGAAAAUUAAUUCUUCAAACCUCAAAAGAGAUGAGGUUAAGGCCGAUAUGUUGUUAAUAGAGAUGAUAACCCAACCUAUGUGAUUGGAGAUCUCAUGAAGUAGGUUCAUGUGGGUAAUAACAAGUCUAUAUUGGCACUAAAACACUAAAAGAGAGUGCUUGAAUGCUACUAAUUGAGAGGCUGAGUUAUAACUCUUAAUUAAAUUCAUAGUUCUUAUGGAUGGUGUAUUUAAAAGCAGUAUACACUUGAUGAAUUCACCUAUAUGAGAGUGGAGUGGGCCGCUCCUAUGAAAUUUUGGCCUAGUCUUUAGAGCUCUCAUGAAUAACCAAGCACGCGCAUGGCCUAUUGGGCGCAAAAUCGUGUUGAACAACAAAAUUACCGAGGGUCAAAAUGUGAUUGAUAAAAUAUCUGGCUUACAAUAAGAAUUAUUGGUUCAUAGAAAUAUUAUAUUUCACCAGUAAUUCUGUGAGUUAAAUUUUAUUGGUCUAAGUUUGGUUCAUAGUCCAAAAGACACCAAACCUAUUAAAUUUGGACCAUGCAAAUCCAGUAAGUCAAUUCUUUCAUUCCUUUAUUCUUAUCCUAUAAAUUUUGAAAAUAUGUGUGGAUUGUGGGAGAAUUUUCAAAUUUUAACUAGCCAUGGGUCUUUUUUAUUUUACAAGUGUCCUAUCUAUUUCCAAGUGGCUUCUUGCAUAAAGCUUCGUGGCCAAAUACUCUUAGAUAAUUGGUACAUGAAAAGUACAAUUUGCGGAAACCAACACAGCCUAACAUCGGGGUGUCACCAGUCAUGAGCAUCUAACACAAAUCUAAGAGUAUGAAAGAGUUUAUAUAGUCUAUUACCGAAUUAGAACAAGGGAAGUAAAAUACGAGGGAGAAACACUAGGCUGGGAACGCCGAGCUACUACCUAGUGGACUCCGAAUAGCCUGCUGGGAGCAAUCAACCCUCAAUGGUGGGACCUGAAGCUCUUAAAUUUGCACACAGGGUGCAGGGAGUAAAGUGAGUACUCCAACUCAGUGAGUAAUAACAAUAAAUAAAGACUGAGCGAUAAGAAAUCACGUAAAACACAACAACAUGCUAUAAAGAGGUAGUGUAAAACCAAUAAAAAGCAAUAAAAUAGUGAAAUCUUAUAAAAACACCUUAGUUAAGUAUAAGCUUCUUUAAAACACAUUUUUAACAUCUAAACAAGUAAAUGAAAAGCAACAAGAAAGAUACACACAUAAAAUCCGCCCCUCGGGCACAAUGUUAACAAAAUCAGCCCCUCGAGCAAUAACAUGGAACAACACCAGCCCAUCGGGCUAUAUCACAUAUCACACUAGGUACCCGCGCUCACUAGGGGUGUACAGACUCCGGGAGGGGCCCCUUACGGCCCAAGCACAAUAUCAAGUCAUCUCGUGGCAUAAUCAAUAGGCUCUCGGCCUCACAUCAAGCCACAUUGUGGCGUACAACUUAGGCCCUCGACCUUAUAAUCAUAAUCAGUACAACACUGCUGCGGCCUGAAGCCUGAUCACAUAAUAAUCCUCACAACACAGGCCCUCGGCCAUACUCAGUCAGAAAUCUCUAAAAGCCACUCGGGCAAAGUAAAACAUGAUGCUCGGCCCCAAAAUAUCAUAUAAGAUGUCAAAACAGAAUAAACAUGGAUGGGUUAUAAAAACAAUAAAGUAUAGCAUGACUGAGUACAAGUAUAAAGUUAAAACAGUGAGGAAAUAGUAGUAAAAGUCCCCUAAGGAUCAAAACAGUUGGUACGAGGCCCAAAUAUGGCAUUCAGCCCAAAACAUGAUGAUAGCAAAUAAUUUUCAAUCAAAUAUGUAGUAAAAUAGUCAUACGGGAUGGACUAAGUCACAAUCUCCAACGGUGCACGACCCCAUGCUCAUCAUCUAGCAUAUGCGUCACCUCAAUACAACACAACAAUGUGAAAUCUGGGGUUUCAUACCCUUAGGACAACAUUUACAAUCAUUACUCACCUCUACCCGAUCCGAACUCUAGCCCACGAUGCCCUUGCCUCUCGAAUCGGCCUCCGGAUGCUCCAACUCUAACCAAAAUCACUGCAAACCCAUAGAAAUAUGCUAAGGUAACAAAGCCCACUCGAAAGAAAUCAAAUUACAACCCAAAUCCCAAAAUUGGCUAAAUAUGACCCCCAGGCCCACAUCUCGGAAUCCAAUUAAAAUUACAUCAAUAGACUCCUUAUCACUCCCCGAGUUCAUUCAUAUCAAAAUCACCAAAAUCCAACCACAAACGACCCCUCAAAUCCCAAAUUCUAGGUCUCCAAUUACAAGCCCUAGUUCUUCAAUAUUUAGGCUUAAAUUCUAGAAAUUCCAUGGUUAAUUAGGUAGAAAUCACAUUAUAAUUGAGUAUUAAAUCCGUAAAUCUUACCUCCAAGUUUUCCCCCUUGAUUCCCUCUUCAAUCGUCUUCAAAAAGCUUCAAAAUCACCCAAAAAUGGAGGAACUUAUGCUCAAAAUCACGGAAUAGGCCUUUUAAACAUUCUACCCAGCUAUUUCAAUUCCUUCUUUGCGAAUUCGGUCAACGCCUUGCAUUCGCGAAUCGUAAACUUAAGUUGACAAAUUUUCCUUCUUCGCGAACACGUCUCUCCUCUCGCGAACGUAAAGGCUCAACUUCCCAGCCAAUCGCGAAUGCAGCUCCCAUCUCGCAAACGCGUAGCUUGAUGCCCCCAACCCUUCGCGAACGCGGGACCUCCCUCGCGAACGUGAAGGCCAAACCUUUAGCCUCACAUUCUAGCCCUUAGCGAACAUGAAGGUCCACUCACGAACGCGAAGCACUACUGUUUGCAACACUACAACAAAUGUUUCUGCAAUUUAUUCAACAUGAAAUGGUCCGUUUGACCACCCAAAACUCACCUGAGGCCCUCGGGACCUCAACCAAACAUGGCAACAUGUCCCAUAACAUCAUUCAAACUUGUUCCAACCUUUGGAACGCUCAAAACAACAUCAAAACACCAAAUUUGCAUCGGAUUCAAGCCUAAGAAUUCUAAAAACUUCCAAAUUCCGCUUUUGAUCAAAAAGUCUACCAAACCACGUCCGAAUGACCUAAAUCCCAAAUGACACAAAGGACCUACUGCAACUCCCUAAAUUCCAUUCCGAACCCUAUAUCAAAAUCUCACCUAUCAACCGGAAAUCGCCAAAAUUCCAAUUUUGCCAAUUCAAGCCUAAAUCCACUCCUGACCUCCAAAACACAUUCCGAUCACGCUCCUAAGUCCCAAAUCACCUCCCGAAGCUAUCCGAACCAUCAGAAAUCACAUCUGAUACCUUUAACACAUAAGUCAACAUCCGGUUGACUUUUUCAACUUAAGCUUCCUCAAAAUAGACUAAGUGUCUCAAACCUUACCUAAACCUCUCCGAACCCGAGUCAACCAACCUGAUAAUACAAAAUACAACUGAACAAGGCAAUAAGAAGCAAAAAUUGGGGAAAUGGAGCGGUAACUCAUAAAACGACCGGUCGGGUCGUUACAUCCUCUCCCUCUAAAACAAAUGUUCAUCCUCGAACGAGUCAAGAAACACACCGGAUACCUCAAAUAUGAGAGGAUAUCUUCUCCGCAUAUCCCCUUCGGUCUGCCAGGAAGCCUCCUCCACGAGCCGACCUCUCCACUGCACUUUCAUUUAAAUUAUAUCCUUUGACCUCAACUUUCGAACCUGAUGCUCCAAAAUAGCUACUGGCUUCACAUCAUAAGUCAAAUCAUCAUCUAGUUGAACCGUGCUAAAAUCUAAAACGUAAGACGGAUCCCUAAUAUAUUUCCGGAGAAUAGAAACAUGAAAUACCAGAUGCACACUUGACAAGCUGGGUGGCAAAGCAAGCUCAUAAGCCACCUCCCCAAUCCUCCGAAGCACCUCAAACGGCCCAAUGAACCGAGGACUCAAUUGACCCUUCUUACCAAAUCUCAUAACACCCUUCAUGGAUGAACGCUUCAACAGAACCUUCUCACCAACCAUGUAGGAUACAUCCCGAAUCUUCCGGUCAGCAUAACUCUUUUGUCUCGACUGCCCAUUAUGAAGCCUCUCCUGAAUUACCUUCACCUUUUCUAAAGUAUCCUGCACCAAGUCUGUCCCCAAUAGCCUAGCCUCACCCGGCCCAAACCAACCAACUGGAGAUCUACACCGCCUCCCAUACAAAGCCUCAUAUGGAGCCAUUUGAAUGCUCGACUGGUAGCUAUUGUUAUAAGCAAACUCCGCGAGCGGUAGAAACUGAUUCCAUGACCCUCUAAAAUCAAUAACACAAGCACACAAUAUGUCCUCCAAUAUCUGAAUAGUGUGCUCGGACUGCCCCUCCAUCUGAGGGUGAAAAACGUGCUCAACUCAACUUGAGUACCCAACUCUCGCUGCACAGACCUCCAAAACUGCAAGGUAAAUUGAGUGCCCCUAUCUGAAAUGAUGGAAAAUAGGACAUCAUACAAACAAACAAUCUCCUGGAUAUAGAUCUUUGCCAACCGCUCUAAAGUAUAGGUAGUACACACAGGAAUGAAGUGCACGGACUUGGUCAGCUGAUCCACAAUCAUCCAAAUAGCAUCGGACUUCUGCAAAGUCCGUGAGAGCCCAACUACAAAGUCCAUGGUGAUACACUCCCACUUCCACUCUAGAAUAUCCAUUUGUUGAAGCAAGCCACCCGGUCUCUGAUGCUCAUAUUUCACCAGCUGACAAUUGAGACACUAAGACACAAAUCCCACAAUGUCCUUCUUCAUUCUCCUCCAGCAAUAAUGUUGUCUUAGAUCUUGAUACAUCUUUGCAGCACCAGGAUGAAUGGAAUACCGCGAGCUAUGGGCCUCCUCCAGAAUCAAAUCCCGAAGACUAUCUAUAUUGGGCACACAUAUCCGGCCCUGCAUCCUCAACACCCCAUCAUCAUCAACAGUCACAUCUCUGGCAUUAUCGUGCUGAACUUUGUCCUUAAGGACUAGCAAAUGAGGAUCAUCAUAUUGGCGCUCUCUGAUACGAUGAAAUAAAGGAAGACCGAGAAAUCACACAAGCCAAUACCCGACUGGGAUCCGAAAUAUCCAACCUCACGAACCAAUUGGCCAAGGCCUGAACAUCAACUGGAAGAGGUCUCUCCCCAACUGGAAUAUAUGCCAAACUCCCCAUACUCGCGCCUUCUUACUCAAAGCAUCGGCCACCACAUUGGCCUUUCCCGAAUGGUACAAAAUAGUAAUAUCAUAAUCCUUUAGCAACUCCAACCAUCUCCGCUAUCUCAAAUCGAGAUCUUUCUGCUUGAACAAGUGCUGGAGGCUAUGAUGAUCAGUAAAAAACUCACAAGACACACCAUACAAAUAAUGCCUCCAAAUCUUCAACGCGUGAACAAUGGCAGCCAACUCCAAAUCGUGAACAGGGUAGUUCUUCUCAUGGGGCUUCAACUGACGAGAAGCAUAAGCAAUAACUUUACCCUCCUGCAUCAACACACACCCAAUACCAACUCUCAAAGCAUUACAAUAUACGGUAUAUGAACCUGAAGCUGAUGGCAAAACAAAUAUUGGAGUUGUGGUCAAGGCAGUCUUAAGCUUCUGAAAGCUCUCCUCACACUCAUUUGACCACUUGAAUAGAGCACCCUUUUGAGUCAACUUGGUCAAGGGCGAUGCGAAAGAUGCGAAUCCCUGAACAAACCGGCGGUAAUAACCCGCCAAACCAAGAAAGAUACGAAUCUCUGUGGCCGAGGACGAUCUGGAUCAACUCUGAACAGCCUCUAUCUUCUUCGGAUCAACCUGAUACCCUCACUGGACACCACGUGCCCCAAGAAAGCCACUGAACUGAGCUAAAACUCACAGUUGGAGAACUUUGCAUAAAGCUUCUCCUCCCUCAAUCUCUGCAACACAACUCUCAAAUGCUCCGCGUGCACCUUCUGACUAUGCGAAUACACCAGAAUAUCAUCAAUGAAAACUAUGAUGAACGAGUCGAGAUACGGUCGGAACAUAUUGUUCAUCAAAUGCAUAAACGCUGCUGGGGCAUUGGCCAGCCCAAAAGACAUCACCAAUAACUCAUAAUGACCAUAUCGGGUCCUGAAAACCGUCUUAAGAAUAUCCAAGUCCCUGAUCUUCAACUAGUGAUAACCUGAACAGAGAUCAAUCUUGGAGAACACUCUCGCUCCCUGAAGCUGCUCAAACAAAUCAUUGAUACAAGGCAAAGGAUAAUUGUUCUUGAUUGUUAUUUUGUUCAACUGCUUGUAAUCAAUGCAUAUCCUCAUAGUUCCAUCCUUCUUCACAAAUAAAACCGGUGCACCCCAAGGCGAUACACUAGGCCGAAUGAACCCCAUAUCAAGGAGUUCCUGAAACUGCUCCUUUAACUCCUUCAACUCCGAUGGUGCCAUAAGAUACAGUGGAAUAGAAAUGGGCUGAGUUCCCAGCACCAGAUCAAUACAAAAAUCACUAUCCUUGUCCGGUGGCAUGCCUGGCACGUCAGCAGGAAACACAUCGGGAAACUCCCUCACAACAUGAAUAGAAUCAAUACUUGGAGUCUCUGCACCGACAUCCCUAACAAAGGCUAGAUAUGAAAGACAACCCUUCCCAACCAUCCGCUUGGCCUUCAAGAAUGAAAUUACCCUAUUGGAAACAUAAUCAGUCGAACCUCGCCACUCAAUCCGUGGCACACCUAACAUAGCCAAUGUCAUUGUCUUAGCAUGACUGUCCAAAAUAGCACGACACGAAGAUACCAAUACAUGCCCAAUAAAACAUCGAAGUCUACCAUACAUAACAAAAACAGAUCCACUCGAGUCUCCAGACCCCCAAUAGUCACCACAUAUGACCGGUACAUGCGAUCUACAACAACAGUAUCGCCCACCGGAGUAGAUACACGAACAGAUGAAACGAGAGACUCACAGGGUAUAUCUAAAUAACGAGCAAAGUAUUAUGACACAUAAGAAUAAGUGGAACCGGGAUCAAAUAAUACAGAGGCAUCUCUGUGGCAGUCUGAGAUAAUACCUGUGAUCACGGAGUCUGAAGCAAUAGCAUCGGGUAUGUCAUACCUCCUUUUUCCUACAACCUCGUAAGGGAGUAUAAAGGGAGUUUUUUCAACUUAAAGUGAAAAUCGAAACGAGAUUAUUUAUUUAUUAAACUCAGAGUCGCCACUUGGGAUAAAUUAUGGUGUCCCAAGUCACCGGUUCAAAUCCCAAAUCGAGGAAAAGAUUGAUUCUGUAUUACAGUAUGCGAACAUAGAAAUCGGGGUAAGGAAUUCUGUUAACUCGGGAGAAGGUGUUAGGCAUUCCCGAGUUUCGUGGUUCUAGCACGGUUGCUCAACUGUUAUAAUUUGCCUAUUAUCUGAUUUUAAUACAUGUUUUAGCCUAUGGUGCCAUUUUAACUUAUUAACCGCUCUUAUUCAUUUUUAGGAAGAUUGUAACGUCAUUUAAAAUAUGUCUUGAACCACGUCACAUAAAUGCACCCGCAGUCCGCAACACAUUUUAUAUAACAUUGUCGAGAUUUGGAUUUGGGUCACAUAAAUGCGCACCCGAGUUUAGGAAGGUAAAUUAUUAAAUAGCGCGUCUAAAGAAACUACGAUGCAUUCAUUUCCUAUACUAAUCUAUUAUGGAGGUCAUGAUUUAAGGAUUGAACUACAGUACGCCCGCUAUUUUACAUUGUAACAAGACUAAGAAAUUUCAACACUUUUAUCUAUUUUUUUAAUCCUUAAGCAAAUGAUGUUGUAUCUACUAUCUACUAUAUUUACAUCCUCAUUUCACACCAAAAAGCUAAAAGACAAAUAUAUAUAUAUGUAUUAUAAAAUAUGUUGUUCCCUACUUUGCUGUCAAAGCAUAAGUUCCAUUUUUUCCAUAUAAUCCAUCUUAUAUUAUCUCAAAUAAAUAGCAACAACAAUAAGUGAAACAAAAUAUAAGAAUGGAAAUAAAAUUAAUUUUAAGGUGAAAUAUAGGUAAACAAAAAGAUCACAUAUAAGACAAAUCACAAACAUUAUUAAUAAAUCAUUUUAAAAGAGAGGACAGAAACAUUCGCAUUUUUGGAUUCAUGAUUUUUGACGCCAAAGUUUAUAAAUUCAAGCUAACCUUACCUGCCAAAUCAUUUUUCAUUAAUCUCACGCCUAAUUUUCAACCCCUGUCAGUGGAUACCAUUCCAAUUCUCUUUAACAAAAUUUAAAUUGCUUUGUCACAUUUAACAAGUAAAUAGUAGCAUAGUUUCAUGUAGUCACUAAACACAAUAUAGGCAUGAAAGGCAAUAACAAUGAAGAUAGACCGAACAAAACAUAAACAUGAAGAAUGGAUUAUCUACUAACUCAAACCACAAACAAGGUAAGGCAACAGAGGAUUCAUGACAAUAAAUUAGAAUGAAAGUAGAGAAGGAACAGAAAUGACAGACCUUUUAUAUACAUGGAAAUUUAUUGACUACAAAGAUGUGAGCUCGACGUGAGAAUUCAAACAAAACCGAACCAGGCACGGAGAACUCGCCGACGACCUCGAACAAGGAUCUGGACAAAAAUUAUAGCGACUCGACUAGAUUUGGACAGCUAUUUCGAGUGUAAAGGAAUCGGUUCGAUGGAUGUUUGCGGCUGGUUUUGGACGGCAUUUCAUUGGAUAUCUGGUGCUAAUUUUGGGACAGUUCUUUUGGGAUUUUUGGACUGUUUUUUCAGCAAUUUCGCAGCUGGUUUGGCUCCUCUUUAGAGCUCUUUUGCGGACAGUUUUUGAGGCUAGUUUGGGUGACGUUUUUGGGGUUGAAUUUCAGCUUGGUUUAGGGCUCUUUUCGUGGUGGUUUCGGGUGUUUCAGGGGUGUUUGAGCUGAAGUUUUUGAGGUUGAAAAGCUAUGGAUGAAGCUAGUUUUUGGGUGAAGCAACAACGGGUUUCAGCUACGUUUUCUUUUGGAUGCUUUUGGCUGCUUCUUAUUACUGAUUUUAGAGGGUCCUGUGGUUACUUUUGUCAUGAGAAGGGAUGGCCUUAUAUGGCUAUGAAAAUUUGAUGGAAAAAGAGAAUGAAGUUUCCACCAGGAAGAAGAAGCAAAGAAUGGCGGAUGCUCCUCUUCAAUCCAAUUGUUGCCGCUGUUUUUUAGUCUAUAUCUAGAUCCUCAAAACGGCGGAUCUAUUUUUU